CACUUUCCAAGCGAAUACUUCUAACUCUUGUUGCAAAGCCCAAGGUACAAAUUGUCUCACAUAAAUCAUCCUCAUUUGGUCUGAUAUGGACAAGCAUCAACGUUUUGGACUCGCAUCCUGUCAACAUGAAUACACCAAGGCGUGUUGAAGGAGGUUAAUGAAAUACGAAUCAAACUGUUGCAUAAUAAGGAAGAUUAUAAGCAACUUUUAGGAAAACAUUACUCUCAUCAAGGGUGAAUAAAGUUCUGAAUUGGUCACUCUCUUCAUGUUGAAAAGGUCUUACACGACAGAACACCCUAAUAUUUCCUGGGGAAUAAGGUAUGUCAAUUAACAGGUACUUGUUGAACCCCAUGAGGGAUGACAGUGUAUCUGGCAGAUUCUGCAUGGGUUUUCCUGAUUGCCCCUCCAUGUUUGGUGUGAUGCAAACCUUCAACAUGAACCAGUAUUGCUGAGCUACUAAUCUCUUCCUGUUG